rnacentral:lncRNA from 1 species
CUUGUUCCGCGGAGGGUGGGGCGGUCUCUGCUUGCGCAUGCGCAAUGCCAGCCAGUGCCUGCGCGGCUUGCUCCAGCAAGGUAAAAUUUCCCACUGCGAGGCAGGCAGUGAUGCUGCGGCCGCUUCGCACUGUGGCUCCUGCCGACCGCCAGGCGCUGUUACAGUGGAUGCGAACUAACCGUAAGUCAUUAUAUCGUACUGCAGAAACCAGCUCAACUAUGCAAAACUACCACCAGGACUGGCCGACACCAGGAGGGAUUCCAGAGACCACACUGCAGGGAGCAUACAGAAAGAAAAUUAAGAGAUCAGAUGCAGCAGCAGCCGGAACCCACAGUUCACCUUGGUGCAUUCCUUUAUGAUGAAGACUUAUUGAUUCAUUAUAUGAGAAAGGAAAAAUGAGCAGAAACUACUGUAUGAUGUGCAGCUCACACCAGACAGCAACUUUAGGGUUAUCUUUCCAGUUCAGCAGUGCAACUCUAUGGAGUAGAAUUGAAAGGAGACUUUUCGCCAAUUGCAGGAAAUGGUCAUAAAAAAAUACCUGCUCACUGACAGAAUAAAGUGUCCUGCGCCUUGGCUGUUACAGGUGGAGGUGGAAAAGAAAUUGCCAUUGAUGCUGCAAAUAACUUCCUUCACCUUCUAACCUGGAGAUUCAUUGAAGGAAGAAAAAAGGUGACUGUCAGAGUCCCUGCUGGCCAUGCCUCUCAGCCACAGGACCACUGAGCCACUUAAUUCCUCCCCAGGGUCAGAUGUGCCCCAGCACCAGGUUGUUUAUGGAUACCCUAACCACCUUUUCACACUCCUUGAAGUUUAGCUUUAAAUGUUUUAAGAAUUAGCAAAGUGGGCCGGGCACGGUGGUUCAAGCCUGUAAUCCCAGCACUU